UACGUAGGGAGCGAGCGUUGUCCGGAUUUAUUGGGUUUAAAGGGUGCGUAGGCGGGAUGCCAAGUCAGCGGUAAAAAUGCGGUGCUCAACGCCGUCGAGCCGUUGAAACUGGCGUUCUUGAGUGGGCGAGAAGUAUGCGGAAUGCGUGGUGUAGCGGUGAAAUGCAUAGAUAUCACGCAGAACUCCGAUUGCGAAGGCAGCAUACCGGCGCCCUACUGACGCUGAGGCACGAAAGCGUGGGUAUCGAACAGG
rnacentral:rRNA from 1 species